CUUCACCAUUCCCAAUAUAGACAUAUGUUUCUCAUCUCAAUGGCAAAGCUAAAGAAAGGGACCUCUCCAAGAGUGUUCUACCGAGGGCUUCACCUCCUCAUAGAUUUCUGCAAUCUCGGGCCUCAAGUUGAGUUCCAUGCCAAUAUAUCUGGAUGUUAAUCCAUGCCAAUAUAUGCGGAUGUUAAUCCACAGCAAGAGAAUGCUGUCUUGCUGCUGUUAUGGUUAUUAGUCGCCCAGGCUGUAGUGCAGUGGCUUGAUCUUGGCUCACAGUAACCUUCACUUCCCAGGUUCAAGCGAUUCUCUUGCCUCAGCCUCCCAAGUAGCUGGGAUCACAGGCAUGCACCACCAUGCUUGACUAAUUUUUGUAUUUUUAGUAGAGACAGGGUUUCACCAUGUUGGCCAGGCUGGCCUAGAACUCCUGGCCUCAAGUGAUCCGUCAGCUACUCGGGAGGCUGAGACAUGAGAACAGCUUGAACCAGAAGGUAGAGGUUGUAAGUGUAAAGAGAUGGAAUUUGCAAAAACUUUCAUAUUGUACAUCGCAAAAGUUCUAAACAUUCUUUAUAGGGUAGUGGAUUAAAGCAUGAUAUAUUUUUUAAAGGAAGAAAUAGUGAAACAAUUUUGAUAUACCCAUACAUUAUAGAAUAUUAUGAAACCAUUUAAAGUGAUCAUAUAUCUAGAUUAUAUGAAUGUUGAUAAAUGAUUGAUAGAUGUGGAUUUGAAUUUAAAAUGUAUAUGCUCUCAAGAAAGAAAUUUCCAAGCACAUAUUCUUUCAUUCUAUCUAAUAUUUGAAGAGUGAUUAAUACCAGUUGUACAUAUUUUUCUAGAGAAAUUAAAAAGAGAUUAAUUACUAACCUACUUUAUAAAGCUAAUAAGUUUUUAUGUCAAAACAAGAUGUGGUAAAAAAAAAUAAAAUUACAGACCAACAAUUUUUAUGAACUUUGAGUCAAAAAUGUUCACCAAUUAGUGAGAAAUUAAAUCCAACAGUGUAUAGAAAAUAUUAUAUAUUAUAAUCAAAUGUGAUUUAUUCCAGGUGUACAAGGCUUAUUCAAGAUUCUACAAUGCAAUUUAUCAUAUCAACAGGAAGAAGAAGAAAAUCAGAUGAUCAUAUCAAUUGAUUCAGUAAAAAUUACUAUAAUUCUAC
rnacentral:lncRNA from 10 species